GAUGAACGCUGGCGGCGUGCCUAACACAUGCAAGUCGAACGAAGCGCCUUACCGGAUUCUUCGGAUGACGGUCUGGUGACUGAGUGGCGGACGGGUGAGUAACGCGUGGGUAACCUGCCCAGUACAGGGGGACAACAGCUGGAAACGGCUGCUAAUACCGCAUAUGCGCACGAGGAGACAUCUCCUUGUGUGAAAAACUUCGGUGGUACAGGAUGGGCCCGCGUCUGAUUAGCUGGUUGGCAGGGUAACGGCCUACCAAGGCAACGAUCAGUAGCCGGUCAGAGAGGAUGAACAGCCACAUUGGAAGUGAGACACGGUCCAAACUCCAACGGGAUGCAGCAGUGGGGAAUAUUGCACAAUGGGGGAAACCCUGAUGCAGCAACGCCGCGUGAGUGAAGAAGUAUUGCAGUAUGUAAAGCUCUAUCAGCAGGGAAGAGAAUGACGGUACCUGACUAAGAAGCUCCGGCUAAAUACGUG
rnacentral:rRNA from 1 species